UGACCUCAGGUGAUCCACCCACCUCAGCCUCCCAAAGUGCUGGAAUUAUAGGCAUGAGCCACCUGCCCUAAUAUCCUCUCUUAAGAAGAUGCCAGUCAUGUUGGAUUAGAGCUGACUUCAGUGAUCUCAUGUUAACUUAAUUACCACUUUAAAGACCCUAUCUCCAAAUACAGUCACAUUUUGAGGACCUGGGAUCUAGGACUUUAACAUAUAAGUUUGGAGGGGUAUAUACUUCAGCCCAUAAUAUUAUAGGAGGUAGCUUUUGAUCAGAUCUUUAGGUGAAGAACCUGUGCAUCCUAAGGAGCAACCAAGCUCCAUGCAAACCUGGUUGAGGAGGGCAACGCUUAACCAUUAUGAGAAUUCAAACAAAUAACCUCUUUCAGUUAUGGCGAUUGUCACCUCAGACAAUGGAAAGUAAGAUCCAAGUUCCAAAGACACUGGGAAGGCAUAUUUGUUAAAGAUGAGUAAACUCUCCAGAGACUGAGCAUAAUCAGAUAUGCCAGGUUCAGGGAAGACUCCAGAGGAUUUUCAAAGGAGGGCAGCUGGAUAGGCGUUACAAGGGAGGAAGGAGGGCAGCACUGGAUAAUAGGAGUAACACUGGGAAAAGUCAAGGAGUCUGAAUUUACGUCCCACCAUUAGUAAGCUGUGUGGCCUCAGGCAAGUCACUUCACCAUGCUCAGUGUAGGUGUCUGCAUCUUUGAAUAAGUCUCUGUUCUCCUUUUGCAAGCUGUCAGGUGUAGAUAGCUAAAAAUGCUCUACCAUCACUGGGACCUUCAAGGAAAGAGCUCACAGUGUUGCCCUCUCUCCUCCUAAGAGGAGAAAACCUGCCCUAAUCUUAGUGUUCUUCUCACUUGGAGAGGAUGUCUGGCAUUCCACCAUUGGUAGGUCACUCAAUUAUAUUAGUUUGAAGAGUAUUGAAUGCUAGGUACUGAGGGGUAGGAGCACACAGACACUAGGCUCUUUGGCCAAUUCCUCUGAAGCCUUCCCAGGAGAAAUGAACUUCCUUGGCCUGGCUGUGGGCUGCUUCCUGACAUCUGAAUCUGAGGCUUUAAUGAGCAUUUCUCACACUGCAGGGCACCUCUCUGCCAUGGAGCAGUGUCAGACAGAGGUGCUAACACUGGGAACCUUGGGCCACCUCUAGCUGAGCAAGCUGGUAUUUGCAAAUGAACUGAUUGCUUGGUUUCAAUAUGCCUGCUUGCUGAAGUCUGUGGAAGAUGAGUGUGCUGAGCAGGUGCCAUUACUGCAGCAGGUGCCACAGAGAUGUUUACUUGUUUCACAAACAGGUGGCAUUGUUAAGGUAAGAUGGGAGAGGGAAAGAGGGAACAAGCACAGGGCCAUAGCCACACAUGGAUUGGUCCAGCUCCUGGCUCCAUCACUUACCAGACACAGAGCUUUAUAUAAGGCCCUGCACCUCAUUUGUGAAAGGGGAUAAUAACACUUGCCUUCAGGUUAAGUAUGAUGAUUAAGAUUUUAAAAUUUAAAUAGCCUUGGUAAAGUGCCUGAAUCAGUUAAAAGGAAGGGAGGAAGGGAGAGAGUAAGAGACAGAAGGGAAGGAGCUGUCACUUAGUAUAUGUAUUCUAAAGGUCAGGCACUGUUCUUUAGCAUCUUAUAUGAGAUUAACUAAUUUCCUCCUCACUACAGUCUUAUGAAGUGGUCCUGUUACUAUUCCUAUUUUACAGAUAAAGGAACUGAGGCACAGAAAGGUUAAUAAUGUGCACAGGGUCAAUGAAUGUUGAUUAAUUUUUUGUUACUUCAAAGAAAUGUUAAGAUUUAGAUUUAGUGAGAGGUCAACUAUAGCUAAUUAAAACUUGGCUUCAAUGCUUGCUAAAAACGUAAUAUUGGCUGGAAGGCAAAAACAGUAUGUUGGCUGUCUAUUGGUGUAAAACAAUUCACCCCAAAAUGUAGUGGCUCAAAAUAACACUAUGUUAUUGUCUCUUAUGAAUGUGUAUCUUGACUUGAUACAGCUGAGAUGUCUCAAGCUGGCUGGGGCUCUUGUCAUCUGGGGACUUGACUGGGCUGCAUCUCCAAAAUGACACGCUCUCAGAGCCAGUUGAUGUUGGCUGCCAGCUGGGGGCUCAGCUGGGUCUGUCACUGGAGUGCCCACACAGGACCUCUCCGUGGGGACUGGACUUUUUGCAGCAUGGCAGCUGCGUUCAGAGAGGGAGUGUUCUGAGACCAAAGGCAAGCCUUAAGACUUUUUCACAGCUUAGCCUUGGAAGUUGGAGAGCGUCAUUUCCACCACAUUCUGUUGGCUAAAAUCCUAACCUAGGUUCACGGGCGUGAAUAUUUGGAGGUGCAGUUCAUUAUGGGGGCUGGGGACGUAUAUUUUAGAGACGAGGCACAAUAGAAAUUGAGUAGAAUUGGAGCUAGAGGUGACUAUCUUGGACAUAGGGGACAUAAGAUUAAUAAUAAUAACAAUAAUGAAGCAGUAAUAGCUACUUACUGAGCAGAUAGUAUAAUAAGCAAUAGAGUCAGCUAAAGAUUCUGGAGUUAGGCCACCUUGGUUCAAAUCCCAACUUUGUUAGCCAGUUACAUUGUAAGCCUGGAGGAAGUUACUGAAACCUUUGAGCCUCAAUUUUCUUAUCUGUAAAAUGGAGCUGAUAAUAGUGCCUACAUCAGAAGGUUGUUUUCAGGAUUAAAUGCUUUCACCUACAUAAAUUGCUUAGGACAGUGAUUAGCACAUGGACAGCACUCAAUACAUGUUGGGUAUUGUCCUCCUUCGUUUUUUCCCCCAAGCACUGAUAUUUGGCAUAUAAAUUUCUUGGCACUCAGUAGUUAGUUACCCAGUGAGAUUGAGCAUUGGUGACAUGUAUUUUUUAUCUAAUACUCAUCCCAUCUCUGUGAAGUAGAUGCUAUUGGAUCAUUUAUAGGUUAGGAAACUGAUGAGGCAGGUCAGGACAGAUUAGAUUUAUUUUGCUGAUUUUACUGUUGGACUUGAUGGUCACAGUCACUGUGCAGAGCAGCAAGAACCCAUGUUAUUUAAGCAGUGUACAGUGGCAGAUAGGUGGCUGUGCUGUGUUUGGGGCACCCUGGUUUAGUGUGUGGUAAAAGGCAGGGUUUGCUCAUCAAGGUUGAGGGUAGUAGAUGACGAUUGAAACAUGUAGACUCUAGUGUGCUGAGAUGCAGGAAAUGUCCCUGAACAUGGAGCCCUGAAUUAACUCUCAAGCCCAAGCAGAAACCCAGGAAGACAUAUUCCCUGUAGGUAACUAGAAGAGGCCUGUCUCAGUGCAGUACAACUCAGUAUACAUUUCCUGAGAGCGUACUAUGUGGCAGGCUUUAGAAGCACAAACGUAAGUAAGAUUCAUCCCAUUCCAAGGCCCAGUGCUUGCUAAGAGGAGAGCAGCAAGAUAACUCCAGACCAUAUCCAUAGAUGGGAGUUCAACACUUGACCAAAUGUUUAUUGGGUGAUCAUUAUGUAUUAGGUUCUGUUUGAGAGUCUGGGGAUACUGUGAUGGAUUUCUGUUAGCCCACAGGAGAGCUGGCCCUAGUGUCAGACUGCAGCUGGACAUAUCAAGGGAAGGCAGGGACCCACAGUAAGAUUCCUGUGGCUUGUCUUGUCACCAGGAGAUCCUUACACUAUGUAGAGUUAAAAAGGGAAAGAUGGACUUUAAGUUUGGUCUCAGGUAUUACUGGACACUGAGACUUUUUAAGCCUUGGCUUUAUCACCUAUAAAAUGGGUAUAAUAAUUUCUGAUUGCCUGCCUCAGAGGGCCACUAGGGGGCUCACCAGGGGUCGUGUAUACAUUUGUGAACUCUGAAUGCUCUAGAAAGGGGGCUAGGCAAUCGGGGUGAACUUGAAGCCAAACUCAUCAAGAAGGGAAUGGGGCUGAGUUCAGGUUCAUGGCGACAUUUCAUAGUUAACACUUCUAAAGCAUUUACCAUGCACCGGCCACUGUCAUAUGGCUUUUAUCUUAUUUAAUCACUGUAACAACCCUGUGAGGUACCACUAAUUUAUCCCACUUUAUGAAUAGAGAAAUUAAGGCAUAGAGAUGUUAAAUGACUUGCUGAUGAUUGAAUAGCAGGUAGAAGACAGGUUCAAGCCCAGCAGAAUCCCUUCUUGUUACUCCUAUGCUCUUCUACCUAUCCCCGAGGCAAGAUGAUCCAAGGUGUUUAGAUGACCUACCAAGACUAAAAACUGCAUUGCAUAGUGGUGGAAAUUGCCUGUCAUUGCAAAAGGCAGAUGAAGGAAGGGAGGGAGGCAGGAGAGAAGAGGAAGAAAAAAAGGAAUAGAGGCGGCAUAAGGUAGAAAGGAAGGGAGGGAGGAAGAAAAGAAGCACAGAGUCAUCUUGGGCACAGCUGAAUUUAGCUGGUUCCUGUGCAAUAACUUGAAUGUUUACUCACCACCUGAUCUUCCAAUCUUGUGUCAGCCACUGGAAGGCAUUUAAAGAUACAAACAGCUGUGCCUUGGUCCUCAAACCAUCAUUAUCGAGGCUCCAGGUGUGCUGAAAAGUGAAAAGACAUUGUUUUGUGAAGCCAGAGACCUGAGUUCAAGUCUUAUUCUGCCCUUUGUGAGAGCACUGGGUAUAGAAAUCCUGCCUUGCAGAGGUGGGGUGCAGGUUGAAUAGUGAACAAUUGUACCUCACCUUUAACUGGGGCAGCUCUUCAGUGGUUUUCUUUAUGGAAAUUCUGAAUUAAAAUUCAUUCGAGAACCCAAGGUGAUUUUUUUCUUUCUUUCUUUAUUUUUUGCUAAAACAAAAACAACAAGGCUCAAUUAUCUCUGAGGUCCUUCCCAACUCUAAGAGACAUAACAUUUACAGAGAAUGAGAGUAACAGUUCAAUUCUAGAAUAUUGGUAGAAGGUCAGUAAUCCAAUCUUUGAGCAGCAUUUCAGAUGAUACUAAUUAGUCAAUUUUAAUAAGUAGCCUAAAGUUCAAAUUAAAAUCUUCUUUUGCCUGAAAUUACAGUGUCCUUUUAAUUAAGUUUCCCAGAAUCUACUUUGGUCACUUUGCAAUCUGUGUUCCAUGGCAGUCAGAAUUAUCACUUAGGAAGCAAAUUCAAUCUUGUUCCAUCCCUGUUUAAAACUUUUUGGUUACUGCUUUUAGGAG